rnacentral:siRNA from 1 species
CUACAUCUUGGUUAUCGGCGUCA